GGGUGUGCCGGUCGUCACCGGCACAGGCAUAUUGGACGGUCGGGCCGCCGUCC
rnacentral:ncRNA from 12 species